CAGAGGGUGCGAGCGUUGUUCGGAAUUAUUGGGCGUAAAGCGCUGGUAGGUGGCUUGAAAAGUCGCGUGUGAAAUCUUCCGGCUCAACCGGAAAAGUGCGCGCGAAACUGGCGAGCUUGAGUGCCGGAGAGGGUCGCGGAAUUCCCGGUGUAGAGGUGAAAUUCGUAGAUAUCGGGAGGAACACCAGAGGCGAAGGCGGCGACCUGGAAGGUAACUGACACUGAGCAGCGAAAGCGUGGGUAGCAAACAGGAUUAGAUACCCUGGUAGUCCACGCCGUAAACGAUGGGUGCUAGCUGUGGCGGGAGUUGACCCCUGCCGUGGCGACGCUAACGCAAUAAGCACCCCGCCUGGGGAGUACGGCCGCAAGGCUA
rnacentral:rRNA from 1 species